rnacentral:rRNA from 1 species
AUUGAACGCUGGCGGCAUGCUUUACACAUGCAAGUCGAACGGUAACAGGCCGCAAGGUGCUGACGAGUGGCGAACGGGUGAGUAAUGCAUCGGAACGUGCCCAGUCGUGGGGGAUAACGCAGCGAAAGCUGUGCUAAUACCGCAUACGAUCUGUGGAUGAAAGCGGGGGACCGUAAGGCCUCGCGCGAUUGGAGCGGCCGAUGUCAGAUUAGGUAGUUGGUGGGGUAAAGGCUCACCAAGACGACGAUCUGUAGCUGGUCUGAGAGGACGACCAGCCACAAUGGGACUGAGAAACGGCCAAGACUCCAACGGGAGGAAGCAGUGGGAAAUAUUGGACAAUGGGCGAAAGCCUGAUCCAGCAAUGCCGCGUGAAGGGAGAAGGCCUUCGGGUUGUAAACUGCUUUUGUACGGAGCGAAGAGGUACUUUCUAAUACAAGGGGCUCAUGACGGUACCGUAAGAAUAAGCACCGGCUAACUACGUGCCAGCAGCCGCCGUAAAAC